GCCCUGGUAGCUCAGUGGAUAGAGCAGUCCCCUCCUAAGGGACAGGUCGGACGUUCGAUUCGUCUCCAGGGCGCCA
rnacentral:tRNA from 1 species